rnacentral:rRNA from 1 species
UACGUAGGGGGCAAGCGUUGUCCGGAUUUAUUGGGCGUAAAGAGCUCGUAGGCGGUUCCGUAAGUCGAGUGUGAAAAAUCUGGGCUCAACCCAGUGGAGCACUCGAUACUGCGGUGACUAGAAUUCGGUAGAGGAGUGUGGAAUUCCUGGUGUAGCGGUGAAAUGCGCAGAUAUCAGGAGGAACACCGACGGCGAAGGCAGCACUCUGGGCCGUAAUUGACGCUGAGGAGCGAAAGCGUGGGGAGCAAACAGG